AGCAGCCGCGGUAAUUCCAGCUCCAAUAGCGUAUAUUAAAGUUGUUGCAGUUAAAAAGCUCGUAGUUGAAUUUCGGGGUUAGUAGGCUGGUCGUGCCACAGGUAUGCACUGGUCUUACUGACUUCUCCUUUCUGAAGAACUGUAAUGCCAUUAAUUUGGUGUUGCGGGGAAACAGGACUGUUACUUUGAAAAAAUUAGAGUGUUUAAAGCAGGCUAACGCUUGAAUACAUUAGCAUGGAAUAAUGAAAUAGGACGUUCGAUCCUAUUUUGUUGGUUUCUAGGAUUGACGUAAUGAUUAAUAGGGAUAGUUGGGGGCAUUAGUAUUCAAUUGUCAGAGGUGAAAUUCUUGGAUUUAUUGAAGACUAACUACUGCGAAAGCAUUUGCCAAGGAUGUUUUCAUUAAUCAAGAACGAAAGUUAAGGGGAUCGAAGACGAUCAGAUACCGUCGUAGUCUUAACCAUAAACUAUGCCGACUAGGGAUCGGGCGAUGUUAUCUUUUUGACUUCGCUCGGCACCUUAC
rnacentral:rRNA from 1 species